GAUUAAUGUUAGGAGAAUGGGCUUAAUGUCAGGAGCAUGGAUUAAUUUUAGGCAAGAAUGGGAUUAAUGUUAGGAGAUAUGGGAUUAAUGUCAGGAGAAUAGGAUUAAUGUUAGGAGAAUAGGAUUAAUGUUAGGAGAAUGGGAUUAAUGUUUAGGAGGAAUGGGAUUAAUGUCAGGGAAUGGGAUUAAUGUUAGGAGA
rnacentral:lncRNA from 1 species